CACGCUUACUUUAAAUCAUUAGAAAAGCCUGGAUUGUAAUUAUUUUUAUCGGCCUUAAAUUUUAAGCAUUCUUACAAUUUCAACAACGACAUUAACUUAAUGAACACAAAACCAAAUUCUUAUUCAAAGGCAAUUAUAAUCAAUUUGCUGUGGAGUUUUUUGGGGCGUUGUUGUCAUAGUAUGUUCUUGUGGGCUGCUGCACUGUUCUUUUGCUGUUAUCGCCUCUGCUGUGCUGCUUUUCUAGCAACUGUGUGCAGC
rnacentral:lncRNA from 1 species